UCCACUUUUUUUAUGCCGAACCCCCUCACUGGCCGGCUGACGGACCCGCUUCGCCACCGUCGUGAGCGCUCUGGAAGUAUUACGGGACUCUGCAAUGAAGCCUUUACAUUUUCUGUUCUGAGGCAUACCCCGCGACGACGGCAUCGGCCUCGGAGCGUGGCUGAAGCGUGCGGUCCGAGGACCCUGGCCUUCUUAGGAGACGGAGCUGACAGCCCGGUGACGACAGGAGCCUCCCAGAGGGUGAGCCGGCCUUCUGUUGUGCCUGAGGAGGAUUCCCAUCUCCAGAUGUCUGAGAGAUAAGUUGAGGGCUACAAUCCACUGAGGGAAUGAAUGUGAGGUGUU